rnacentral:rRNA from 1 species
GGAAUCUUCCACAAUGGGCGCAAGCCUGAUGGAGCAACACCGCGUGAGUGAAGAAGGGUUUCGGCUCGUAAAGCUCUGUUGUUAGAGAAGAACGUGCGUGAGAGUAACUGUUCACGCAGUGACGGUAUCUAACCAGAAAGUCACGGCUAACUACGUGCCAGCAGCCGCGGUAAUACGUAGGUGGCAAGCGUUAUCCGGAUUUAUUGGGCGUAAAGCGAGCGCAGGCGGUCUUUUAAGUCUAAUGUGAAAGCCUUCGGCUUAACCGAAGAAGUGCAUUGGAAACUGGAAGACUUGAGUGCAGAAGAGGACAGUGGAACUCCAUGUGUAGCGGUGAAAUGCGUAGAUAUAUGGAAGAACACCAGUGGCGAAAGCGGCUCUCUGGUCUGUAACUGACGCUGAGGCUCGAAAGCGUGGGGAGCAAACA